UACGGAGGGUGCAAGCGUUAUCCGGAUUCACUGGGCGUAAAGGGCGCGUAGGCGGCCACCGCAAGUCGGUUGUGAAAUCUCCGGGCUUAACCCGGAAAGGUCAAUCGAUACUGCGGGGCUAGAGUGCAGAAGGGGCAACUGGAAUUCCUGGUGUAGCGGUGAAAUGCGCAGAUAUCAGGAGGAACACCGGUGGCGAAGGCGGGUCUCUGGGCCGAUACUGACGCUGAGGAGCGAAAGCGUGGGGAGCGAACAGG
rnacentral:rRNA from 1 species